GUGGGGAAUUUUGGACAAUGGGCGAAAGCCUGAUCCAGCAAUGCCGCGUGUGUGAAGAAGGCCUUCGGGUUGUAAAGCACUUUUGGCAGGGAAGAAACAGCGCGUGCUAAUACCAUGCGCGAAUGACGGUACCUGCAGAAUAAGCACCGGCUAACUACGUGCCAGCAGCCGCGGUAAUACGUAGGGUGCAAGCGUUAAUCGGAAUUACUGGGCGUAAAGCGUGCGAAGGCGGCUUUGUAAGACGGAUGUGAAAGCCACGGGCUCAACCGGGGAAGAGCAUUCGUGACUGAAAAGGUAGAGUGUGUCAGAGGGAGGUGGAAUUCCGCGUGUAGCAGUGAAAUGCGUAGAGAUGCGGAGGAACACCGAUGGCGAAGGCAGCCUCCUGGGAUAACACUGACGCUCAGGCACGAAAGCGUGGGGAGCAAACAGGAUUAGAUACCCCUGUAGUCC
rnacentral:rRNA from 1 species